UACGGGGGGAGCAAGCGUUGUUCGGAUUUACUGGGCGUAAAGGGCGCGUAGGCGGCCACCGCAAGUCGGUUGUGAAAUCUCCGGGCUUAACCCGGAAAGGUCAACCGAUACUGCGGGGCUAGAGUGCAGAAGGGGCAACUGGAAUUCUCGGCGUAGCGGUGAAAUGCGUAGAUAUCGAGAGGAACACCUGCGGCGAAGGCGGGUUGCUGGGCUGACACUGACGCUGAUGCGCGAAAGCUAGGGGAGCGAACGGG
rnacentral:rRNA from 1 species